GACGAACGCUGGCGGCAUGCCUAAUACAUGCAAGUCGAACGAGACCUUCGGGUCUAGUGGCGCACGGGUGCGUAACGCGUGGGAAUCUGCCCUUGGGUUCGGAAUAACAGCGGGAAACUGCUGCUAAUACCGGAUGAUGACGUAAGUACAAAGAUUUAUCGCCCAGGGAUGAGCCCGCGUAGGAUUAGCUAGUUGGUGGGGUAAAGGCCUACCAAGGCGACGAUCCUUAGCUGGUCUGAGAGGAUGAUCAGCCACACUGGGACUGAGACACGGCCCAGACUCCUACGGGAGGCAGCAGUAGGGAAUAUUGGACAAUGGGCGAAAGCCUGAUCCAGCAAUGCCGCGUGAGUGAUGAAGGCCUUAGGGUUGUAAAGCUCUUUUACCCGAGAUGAUAAUGACAGUAUCGGGAGAAUAAGCUCCGGCUAACUCCGUGCCAGCCGCCGCCGUAA
rnacentral:rRNA from 1 species